rnacentral:rRNA from 1 species
CCUANGGGAGGCAGCAGUGAGGAAUCUUGCGCAAUGGGCGAAAGCCUGACGCAGCGACGCCGCGUGAAGGAUGAAGGUCUUCGGAUUGUAAACUUCUGUCGAGUGGGACGAAUGCCGAGAGGGUGAAUACCCCUUUCGGUUGACGGUACCGCUGGAGGAAGCCCCGGCUAACUCCGUGCCAGCAGCCGCGGUAAUACGGAGGGGGCUAGCGUUGUUCGGAAUCAUUGGGCGUAAAGGGCGCGUAGGCGGCCGAUCAAGUCGGAGGUGAAAUCCCUCGGCUCAACUGAGGAAUUGCCUUCGAUACUGUUCGGCUUGAGUCCUGGAGAGGGUAGCGGAAUUCCCGGUGUAGCGGUGAAAUGCGUAGAGACCGGGAAGAACACCAGUGGCGAAGGCGGCUACCUGGACAGGUACUGACGCUGAAGCGCGAAAGCUAGGGGAGCAAACAGGAUUAGAUACCCUUNUANUC